rnacentral:rRNA from 1 species
GACGAACGCUGGCGGCGUGCCUAGUACAUGCAAGUAGAACGCUGAAGGAGGAGCUUGCUCUUCUGGAUGAGUUGCGAACGGGUGAGUAACGCGUAGGUAACCUGCCUGGUAGCGGGGGAUAACUAUUGGAAACGAUAGCUAAUACCGCAUAAGAGUAGAUGUUGCAUGACAUUUGCUUAAAAGGUGCAAUUGCAUCACUACCAGGUGGACCUGCGUUGUAUUAGCUAGUUGGUGGGGUAACGGCUCACCAAGGCGACGAUACAUAGCCGACCUGAGAGGGUGAUCGGCCACACUGGGACUGAGACACGGCCCAGACUCCUACGGGAGGCAGCAGUAGGGAAUCUUCGGCAAUGGACGGAAGUCUGACCGAGCAACGCCGCGUGAGUGAAGAAGGUUUUCGGAUCGUAAAGCUCUGUUGUAAGAGAAGAACGAGUGUGAGAGUGGAAAGUUCACACUGUGACGGUAUCUUACCAGAAAGGGACGGCUAACUACGUGCCAGCAGCCGCGGUAAUACGUAGGUCCCGAGCGUUGUCCGGAUUUAUUGGGCGUAAAGCGAGCGCAGGCGGUUAGAUAAGUCUGAAGUUAAAGGCUGUGGCUUAACCAUAGUACGCUUUGGAAACUGUUUAACUUGAGUGCAAGAGGGGAGAGUGGAAUUCCAUGUGUAGCGGUGAAAUGCGUAGAUAUAUGGAGGAACACCGGUGGCGAAAGCGGCUCUCUGGCUUGUAACUGACGCUGAGGCUCGAAAGCGUGGGGAGCAAACAGG